CUCAAAGCUGACAAUGCAUAUCAUCAGAGCAACAAGGUUGAAGGAACUGCCUGCAGAUCUCAAAAACAGGAUUGUGCAUUGAAGAUUCACAAGAGCACAGUCGCCUCCAUAAUUCUUAAAUGGAAGAAGUUUGGAACAACCAGGACUCUUCCUAGAGUUGGCCGCCCUGCCAAACUGAGUAAUCAGGGGAGAGGGGCCUUGGCGACCAGCCAGAAACCUGUCUAUCCACAGACUCGCCCCCCACCUGGUCCAGCUGUACAGGCUGCUCCAGCUGCAGCCGAGCCAUCUCAGGUGGCUGUUGUUGUGACUGAACCAGAUUCAGAGCAGGUGGAGGAUAUCUCCACCCCACCAACUGAACCCCAGGUGGAACCUAUAGAGGCUGUGGGUACAGAACCCUGAGCUCAGCACACCCUGCUCCCUGUGGAGUCAUGUCAUGUCAGACACGGUGUAGACAUAGAUGUCAACUGGGAAAAACUAUUACUGUCAGCCCCCUGGUAGUCAUUAUAAUUAGGACUCAGUUAACUUCCAUUUAGCUUGAUGACUCAUACCAACAUGACAAAGUGACAACAAAUCUGCUGAUAGCAGCAGAUGUGUAAGAAUAAAUGUUAAUGCUCCAAUAACUUUUACACGUAAACACGUUGUUAUCUUGUCCUCUCGCUUGUGGCAUGACAUGAACACAGCAUCAGUGUUAUAACUGCUGGACCUACAAUAUAGUAUGUUGUGGUUAUGAUAUGGAUGAUUAUUAUUCUACAAAUAUAUAAGACCACUCAAAUAAGUAUAUUUAGAGAAAUAAAAAUAUCAGAAAGACAGGCAGAUUCUUACAUCAAGCAAAGAAUGAGUAGGAUAUAUUCACUUCACGAAUAGUGUGUGCACAUUUUGUGUUAAAUAGAAUGAAGGCAGAUUCAAUUUGUAACCUGAUACUAUUUUGCCUUUCAAAGGUCUUAUACCUCUCUUGUUGUUGCUCAGUUAGAAAACUUUUUGUUAAAUUUAUGCUAUUCUAAACUUGUGUUUAUGCCACUCCACAAUUAACUGAUGAAACGGUUUUACCACAGCCGAUGUACAGUGUAUUGUCCAUUCAUUGUUUGUUGUAAUAUUUCAGACCUGUUAUCUUGAGAUUCAAACUUAAAAGAGUGCUUCAGUAAUUUAGUACUUCCCCAAAAUGGAGAGGCUCAAAAGAAGCAGAUUAGUACAGAAGGGUCAAAAGGUAUAAUCGUUUAACAUUUCCUUCAGUUAUUUCACAGAAAUGUUCUGAACCUUAAACGCAUACCAGCAAGCCUGUAGCUACUGAGAACUUUAAGAAAGGAAUUAUUCUGUAACUAUAGUGCUUGUAGUUUGUUGUAGUUGUAAGCAAAACACUUUGAGAUUUGGGAUUCUUAAUGUCAGUAUUCCUAAAAUCUAGGCUACAGCCCUGGCUGUCUGCCAAGGUUACUUUUCCUUUUCAAAUGUGUCACAUACUGUUUUCUUGCACUGGCUUGUUAGUAUUUGUGGAAACCACAGGAUGGCAUGAUUAAGUGUAAAUCAAUGUAUGAAAAUUUUAAUCAAUGAAAAUACAGUUAAAAGUAAAAUAAAGUAAAAAUAAAUUUAACAAUAGAUAUCCAUUAUUACUCUCAUCAAUCACUAAUAAUCACCAUCGCUACUGUAGCAUUUAAUAAUAAGCCUUUAUGUAGUUUCAUCACUACAAAUGUGAACACAGUAUUGUUGAGAAUUUUUUCUUCAUAAAUUUCAGUAAAUUUAAUCACAAACUCAGGUAUUUUCAUUAGAGCACUGGCAUUUUUGUUUAUCAUAAUUCAUUGCCUCUUUAAUAUCUACAAUGUACAUACUGUCUAUAUUCUUUGUCACAUUUAGUUAUAGUCAAUAAAAACAAGUUGAAAUUAUAAUGGUUCAGUUCACCCAAAUCACAAAAACAUAU